rnacentral:lncRNA from 1 species
AUGGAGGAAAUGCUGAACGCGAAGAGAUGGGCCUGCGUGUCAAGUACGGCACAGAGACAGGGCCUCAAUGCAAGGGAUGGUCGGCAGCCACGGGAUCCCCGCGUCUGGAGGAACAGCAGGGGCGGACCUCCGGGAACAAGGGCCUCCUUGCAGCGUCGGAGCCGAGUUCGCUCAGGACACUCCGAUACGUCUUCCCCCACCUCGGGGGUCGCUCCCCCGAGCGAUCGAAGGCGCCGCGGGGCGCUGCGGGGGCCGCGACUUCCGACCCUCCCGAGAGGCACCCGGAGGCGGCGCGGAGCCGCGGGCCGGGCAGGGGGCGGGAGCGGCGGCGCCUGCGCGCCCCCCGCCCGCCGAGGGGCCGCGCCGGGCGCUGGGGCGGGGUCUGCGGGCGCCGACGGGGCGGGCGGCGGAGGGCGCCACGUCGGCAGCGGAGGACGGAGCGGGAGUAAAGUCUCCGCCGGGCCGGGUCGCGCCGCGCUCGCCGCGACGCGCGGUGGAUGCAGAAAAUCUCCGGGGAAACAGCUGACCUGACACCUCUUUCGCAAAGGAAUAUAUUUUGGGACGUACCUUUAGUUGGGAGAGUGAAGAGGAGCCUCCCUUAGGAAACAGCAGUCGGGUGACUGUGGGCUCCCUUCCAAGGUGGGACAUAAGCACUUGGAUCUCAUCACACCAAGGAGACACUGAAUUGUAG